rnacentral:rRNA from 1 species
GACGAACGCUGGCGGCGUGCUUAACACAUGCAAGUCGAACGGAAAGGCCCUGCUUUUGUGGGGUGCUCGAGUGGCGAACGGGUGAGUAACACGUGAGUAACCUGCCCUUGACUUUGGGAUAACUUCAGGAAACUGGGGCUAAUACCGGAUAGGAGCUCCUGCUGCAUGGUGGGGGUUGGAAAGUUUCGGCGGUUGGGGAUGGACUCGCGGCUUAUCAGCUUGUUGGUGGGGUAGUGGCUUACCAAGGCUUUGACGGGUAGCCGGCCUGAGAGGGUGACCGGCCACAUUGGGACUGAGAUACGGCCCAGACUCCUACGGGAGGCAGCAGUGGGGAAUAGUGUACAAUGGGCGGAAGCCUGAUGCAGCAACGCCGCGUGCGGGAUGACGGCCUUCGGGUUGUAAACCGCUUUCGCCUGUGACGAAGCGUGAGUGACGGUAAUGGGUAAAGAAGCACCGGCUAACUACGUG